rnacentral:lncRNA from 1 species
CCAAGCCUGGCUUUGCAGGAAAGCACAGCCUGGAAGAGUAGUGGUGUUAGCCCUAAGAAGAGAAGAGAAGAAAACAAAUGUAGGCUCCUCCUCUGCCUUGGCUAAACCUUUCAUCCUCCCCAGGGACAGUGGCAGCCCAGAAGUGUCGACAGGAGCGGGAAGAAGGUGCCAGUCCUUUGGCCCCAGGUGACCAAAGUACAGAAAGUAGAGGAAGAAAGUCUGCCUCCUUUAAUGCCACUCUCCUUUCUCCCCUCCAAUCCCCAGUAAAGUCUCGGGGCAACCUCUGCACACGGACCCCUCCAAGUGUCGUCAUCCACCCUGGAUCAUCAGACAGGCGCAGACACCGCCUGGGUCCUCCUCAGUCCACCUGGGGUGGGUACGCAGCCCUCCCUGCUGCCUCCUCCUUCUCUCCCGCGCUGAGGAGGGACUGCCACCCGCGGAGUCAGAGGCGGAGCAGAGGCUGGAGGUGCCCCGGCGCGAGAAGAGAGUAAACCUUUGGCAGGCAAGGGGUGUGGGUCCCACCGGGAGUCUUGGCCGCUCAUCUGGGCCCAGCCCGGCCCCCUGAGAUGGGUUCCGUCUCCUCAGCGCUGGCGCGGUCCCGGUCCCGCAACGCUGUGGUGCAGUUGGGCUCGUCGCCGCCACCCCAGCCCGAGGCGCCUCCGGCUGACCCCGCUGCUCGCGAAGACCGUUUCGCGCUGCACAAGACCGGGAGGCUUGGACCCGGGCGUGGAGAGGCGGCCACCCGGCCGGCAGCCUGGGAGGCUCAGCGGGUAGCGCCAAGCCCCGAGGGGCGCGCGAAGUUGGCGAGUCCGGAGCUGUCCCCGGUGCUGAACAGUGACGAGAGUAUGCCUCAGUCUCAGCUGUCUCGAAGCCCCAGCGCUGCGGGUUUUCCCAGAUUACUACAAUAGACUUGAAAAAAAAUGUUUAUUAUGGAAAAAUUCAAACUUCAAACAUACUAAAAAAUAAAGAGAAUAUUAUAUUGAACGCUCAUGUACCUGACAUAAAACUGCAUCAAUUGUAAACUUUUUGCCAUUCUUCUCCUUCAUUUUUUUCUGGACUCAUAGAAUGUCCGUGUGUAUCUCUAAUAAAUAAGCAAUUUGUGUCCCCCACAGCUUUUUCAUUAUUCUUUCUCUAAUAUCAUUUUUCUCACCAAUCCAAAAAUUUC